UCAAGGAACGGAUUUUGUUAA
rnacentral:miRNA from 1 species